CGAAAUGCGAUAAGUAAUGUAAAUUGCAGAAUUCAGUGAAUCAUCGAAUCUUUGAACGCACCUUGCGCUCCUUGGUAUUCCUUGGAGCAUGCCUGUUUGAGUAUCAUGAAAUCUUCAAAGUAAAUCUUUUGUUAACUCAAUUGGUUUCUACUUUGGUAUUGGAGGUCUUUGCAGCUUCACACCUGCUCCUCUUUGUUCAUUAGCUGGAUCUCAGUGUUAUGCUUGGUUCCACUCGGCGUGAUAAGUUAUCUAUCGCUGAGGACACUGUAAAAGGUGGCCAAGGUAAAUGCAGAUGAACCGCUUCUAAUAGUCCAUUGACUUGGACAAUACUUUUAUGAUCUGAUCCCAAAUCAGGUAGGACUACCCGCUGAACUUAAGC
rnacentral:misc_RNA from 1 species